rnacentral:misc_RNA from 1 species
CCGAGUUUCCAACUCCCAAACCCCUGUGAACAUACCUAUAUGUUGCCUCGGCGGAUCAGCCCGCGCCCCGUAAAACGGGACGGCCCGCCGCAGGAUCCACAAACUCUGUUUUUAUUGUAACUUCUGAGUAACAAAACAAAUAAAUCA